GAAAGAAAGACAUGGACAUCUUGGAUGACAUGGGGUUGCAAAAAUACCUUGUGGAUGUUUUGGAGGAAUUCAAUUUAGACCUGACCACCCAUGUCACUGUUGUGGCCCGCCGAAGAAGAGUAUUAAAUAGUGCUUGUGUUGCACUUCAUAAAUCCUACUUUGAAUGGCAAAAUACCAAACAUUGAAUUUGUUGGUGAGAUGGCGGAAGUUUAUGGAGGAUCACGUCAUCGAGAGUUUUUCAGCGGAUAAAGUCUGGAGAGUGAAAAUCCAAAAGAGUUCAUGUCUCUGCAGUAGCAAUUCAACAUUGGCACCUCCAGGUGGCAUACUCACUUUUGCAAUCCCACAAAACCGUAAAGAGGAAACAUCAUGAAAAAAAGGUAAAAAAAAUAAGCCGCAACUGGAUAAUUUGUAUCUUUUCUUCUAAUCAAACUUUUAUAUUCACUAAUUCUUUGCUUCAACUGACAUGAUGUUUUUCCCACAUAUCCUAGAGUAGACCACAAGGACAACGAAUCAAAUAAACAACAUGAGUUGAAACACAAGUGAUCACAGAUUUAAAUACACAUUUAAAAGGAAAAACCUAAUAAAAUAUGUGGCACAUGUGGAAAUACAGGCUUCUAACAACUCUUUUUUUUAUUUACAGUCCAUAGAAAUUGGGCAUUUAUUAUAAUAAAUAAAAUAUUUCUUACCGUUUUCUCAUUUACUGAGGCAUUGUGUUGUGUUUUAGGGUAGCAUAAAUUUCCGUAAAAAAUGAUUGAAUAAUGUCAUGGCAAAAAUGACCAAUACAUUUCCAUCUUUAGCCCUCUUUUCCACAAUGGUCCAUUAAAAAUGAAUCUGAAUCUGUAAUAAAUUAACUAUUGUUAACAAAUCAAACCAUAUUGUAAAGUGUUACUAACAAAUCAUUUACUUUUAUAAAUCAAUCUUUUAUUUCAUUUAUAAAUCAUUAAUGAGUUUAAAUGAGUCUGUAAGUUUUCUUACCCUAUUUAGCAAGAGUGGUUAUCAAGAUUUAGCUACAGUAUUUUGUAGGUUAUUUAUAUGACAAUGUGUAGAAAAAUGACCUAAAAUGUAUUUAGUUUAGACUGAAGUAGGGUGAAACCAUAAAAAAGGGGAAAGCAAGUUGUUAGCUAGCUGCUAAUUUCAAUCAAUUGUAUAUGAAAAUUGAAAAUUAAUAGUUAAAAUAAACUUUUCAAUGCUACAGUACUUUUAUAUUCUACUUUAUAAUAUGUAUAUGAUUAUUUACCAAAAUAAUUAUCAGGUCUAGCAAAGAAGGAUUGUAUCUUACAAAGCUAUGAAAUCCAGUGGUAAAAUAUAUGCUGCCACUUGGUAAUAUUAUAAGAAAACAUGGAAUUAAUUUCCACUGUUACGCUGACGACACUCAA